GGAGGGGGAAGCUGUACCGGGCCGGUGCGGGAGGAGGGAAAGGGGAGGGGGGGAGCGGACGGUAACCUUCCACCCGUUAACGGCCGUUCUGGAACGUUCGGCCCGUAACGGUCGGCACCGUGAGGGAAGCUGAGGCGGGCGAAGAGGAGCUCAGCGCCGACCCUGCAGCCCUUCUGGGGGCUGUUAAGCGGGCUCGUCUCAAGCCUGAGGCGGAGGAGGGUGGUGAAGAGGAGUCCUGGCAGGGAGAGUCGUGUCGUCGGGGAAAAUUUCCCUCAUUUUGUUAUUAACCGGGAUGGGUGAAGGGUAGCAGCAGCAAAUGCUCUGGAGGAAAGCAGUCAUCUGGCGUGAUUGACAUUGAUUUUCUGCCUCAGAGAGCUUCAAUCGGAGAAGGCUCAGAUCAACACAAACAGAACGGGGAAUUACAGGUGGAGCCUUUCCACUGGCCUCAGGCGGCAUUUGGUCAGGCUUUGGUCAAUAACAGAAGGAAACAAUGCCGCAUUCUUAUUAAACAACGUGUUUGUCUUUAAACUAUGAGAUACCGAUUAAACCUUUAUCACAAAAAUAAAGUCCAGAGACAGUUAUACAAGGUGA